rnacentral:rRNA from 1 species
AGGCCUAACACAUGCAAGUCGAACGGCAGCACAGAGGAGCUUGCUCCUGGGUGGCGAGUGGCGGACGGGUGAGGAAUACAUCGGAAUCUACUCUGUCGUGGGGGAUAACGUAGGGAAACUUACGCUAAUACCGCAUACGACCUACGGGUGAAAGCAGGGGAUCUUCGGACCUUGCGCGAUUGAAUGAGCCGAUGUCGGAUUAGCUAGUUGGCGGGGUAAAGGCCCACCAAGGCGACGAUCCGUAGCUGGUCUGAGAGGAUGAUCAGCCACACUGGAACUGAGACACGGUCCAGACUCCUACGGGAGGCAGCAGUGGGGAAUAUUGGACAAUGGGCGCAAGCCUGAUCCAGCCAUACCGCGUGGGUGAAGAAGGCCUUCGGGUUGUAAAGCCCUUUUGUUGGGAAAGAAAUCCAGCCGGCUAAUACCUGGUUGGGAUGACGGUACCCAAAGAAUAAGCACCGGCUAACUUCGUGCCAGCAGCCGCGGUAAUACGAAGGGUGCAAGCGUUACUCGGAAUUACUGGGCGUAAAGCGUGCGUAGGUGGUCGUUUAAGUCCGUUGUGAAAGCCCUGGGCUCAACCUGGGAACUGCAGUGGAUACUGGACGACUAGAGUGUGGUAGAGGGUAGCAGGAUUGCCU